ensembl:lincRNA
GUUCUUUGGUUGCUUUGCAGUUUGUGACAUCUGGAACAGCUAACAAAUGGCGUACAAAGUUAAAGAAAAUUUUUCCAGGGGGGAAGCAUGCAUGAGCCAAAGAAAAUCACCAUUGCUAUUGCCUGCUAUGCGAUAUUCUAUAGCAUAUUAUGCCUGCACGUGGAUUGGUCUUGGAGUACAUGAGGACUGCAGAGUGUUGGCUGCCAUUCAGGAAUUUGCUGCACGUGAGUACAGGCUGCGUUUUAGCUGAGGAGCAAAUGAACGGAAGCCGCCCUGGGCCGUCUGCCUCAGCAGCCUGGCACCGAAUCCCUUUUCUCACAUAUCAGGUACUGGGGAGCAGCAUAAAGGAGGUAGUAUACAGACAAGAAGAAGGGCAAGGCUUCAUUUUCAGACACAAACACAAAGAUGAGCUACAAAAAGAGGAUGCUGUAGCAGCUGGAAAUUAUCUCCAUCAGGCAGCAGAAGUCACAAAAGGCAUAACAUGCGUUCAAGCUAGGAAAAUGAAACUGGAAAUGCCAAAACAAACAUCUCUAUUUAAAAAAAAAAGCUGUACUGGAAGACCGCCUCUACAUCUAAAGAUCAACCGCCGAGCCAUGACACACAGGGGAGUCAUAAAGGUAAUUUCUAGUUUCACAAGAACCACCGUGGCCAAGAGGCGUAUCAGGGGCUGUGCCUCACACUCCGUCACUGGUGGAAUGAAGUACAACAGAACCCACACAGGCUGA